rnacentral:tRNA from 1 species
UAAGGUAUGGCUCAGAGGUAGGGUAUGUUUUUAGCAUGUGCAAGUCCUGGGUUCAAUCCUCAGCACCAAAU